rnacentral:rRNA from 1 species
AAAACAUUUCUUACUGAUUUAUUUGUAAGUAAUACCUGCUCAAUGAAAUUUUUAUAGCCGCGGAAUUUUAACCGUGCUAAGGUAGCAUAAUCACUAGCCUCUUAAUUAGAGGCUCGCAUGAAAGGUAAAACAAUUUUUAUACUUUAUUAGACAAUUUUUUCAAAGUUAAAUUAAGAAUAAAAAUGUUCUUAUUACACAAAUAGACGAUAAGACCCUUUUGAACUUUACUUUAGUUUAGCUGGGGCAGCUACAAAACGAUUAUCUUUUCCCCUUAUUUUUAAUAAACGACCCAACAAAGUUGAUUAUUUGAACAACGUUACCAUAGGGAUAACAGCGUAAUAUAUUUUUAAAGCUCUUAUUUAAAAAUAAGUUUGCGACCUCGAUGUUGAAUUAGUGUAACUUAUUAAGUGCAGUAACUUUAGGAGUAGGUCUGUUCGACCUUUUAAACACUACAUGAUCU